rnacentral:misc_RNA from 1 species
AACCAUAGAAACCUGCGGAGUACCUGCGGAGGGAUCAUUAUAGUAUAUGGAAUCUCCAUUCUAUAAACCCACUCUGCGUAUCUUGUAACUGUUGCUUCCAUGGGACUUGGUUCCGCCACACCGGCUUCACGGCUGGUGAGCGCCCAUGGAAGGAGAAACAAAACUCUUCUUUGAAAUGUAGUCAGUCUGAAUAAGUUUUUAUAAACGUUAAAACUUUUAGCAACGGAUCUCAGAUCGGAA